rnacentral:lncRNA from 1 species
CCUUGCACGAAGGCGAGUGAUCCUCCCAGGAGGGCUGUCUUGUGGGAUGUCGCCCUCGGCUCUGGGCUGGGGACAGAGAGCACCCCCUAAGUCUUCUCUCACUGCAAGAGUGUAAUUGGGAAGACGCGGGGACCCGGACCCUUCUUCAGGUUACACAGGGAAGGCAGCUGCGGAACCUUUCUUCUCUCUCCCUUGAGCUUCUACUCGGGCCUCUUUAGUAACGGAAACAGUAGAGGAGACUUUAAAUAUGGAGGCCUCGGGUUCUGGGUCCGGGGAGUCUUCUGCAGUAGAAGCUCCAGGGUCUCAGGACGAUCGGCUAUUCCUGAUUAAAGGUGGAAUUUUCCUUGGUUCUGCAGCCGCAGCGGGAAUGCUAGCUGGAUUUGUUACAACAUUAUCACUAGCUAAAAAGAAAAGCCCCGAAUGGUUCAAUAAGGUUUGUGACUGAAAUCCACUCAUAGCAUUACUAUUCUUUUUAACAAAGGACAGCCACAGUCGCUAUAAAGUGCCUAGCACAUAGUAGGUGCUCUAAAAGCAUUGGAUGACUAAUAUAACCCACUUGAGACAGAAGACCAUUAUUCUUCAAGAUUGUACAUUUGUUCUCUGUCACAUACCUGCCUUUUCUGGUUGGUGGGGAAUUUCCUGAUAUGUAUGUGUAGCUGUUUAUAAUGUUUUGUCUUUUCCCCUCCCACCCUUACUGCUGAUUUAUUGUUCACUUCACCUCAGCAAGUGUUGACUUGGGAUCCUUUGUGUUUCAGUCACUCUGAUUAAGGUGGAAGGGAUACAAAAAUAAACAUGUCUGUCCCUCAGGAAUUUAAAUGUCUGCUGUGAGAGACACAAUUAGAUACUCAUACAGAUAACUCUGUAAUUAGCCUGAUGUGUGCUACAGAAGAAUGUUAUGUGAAAAACCAUAAAUCAAUCGAAUUCCCUUCCACUUAUCUGUAAUAGUCAUACUUAAGCUUUGAAUACUGUAAAGACAAGAGGCUAUAAUGUAUCUAAAAUGUUU